UACGUAGGGUGCGAGCGUUAAUCGGAAUUACUGGGCGUAAAGCGUGCGCAGGCGGUUCGUUGUGUCGGCGGUGAAAGCCCGGGCUCAACCUGGGAAUGGCCGUUGAAACUGGCGAACUGGAGUGUGGCAGAGGGGGUGGAAUUCCGCGUGUAGCAGUGAAAUGCGUAGAGAUGCGGAGGAACACCGAUGGCGAAGGCAGCCCCUGGGCUGACACUGACGCUCAGGCACGAAAGCGUGGGGAGCAAACAGG
rnacentral:rRNA from 1 species